AUUUAAAUAGUUUAUUUUAAAACAUUGAUUUGUGGAAUCAAAAAUAUUAAUUUUUAAUUUUAAAUA
rnacentral:tRNA from 2 species